rnacentral:rRNA from 1 species
CCGGUGAUAUAUAUUUAACGGCCGCGGUAUCCUGACCGUGCAAAGGUAGCAUAAUCAUUUGCCUUUUAAUUGGAGGCUAGUAUGAAUGGAUAUAUGAGAUUGAUUCUGUCUCUUUUUUAUAUAUAUAAAUUAGUUUUCAGGUGAAGAAACCUGAAUUUUGAUGAAGGACAAAAAGACCCUAUUGAGCUUUAUUUUUAAUGGAUAGUUUUGAGCUAUUUACUUUAUAACCUUAUAAAAUUUGGUUGGGGCGACAAAGGAAUAUAUAAAUCUUCCUUUAUUAUAUUGAGUUUUUAUUCUUUUAUUUGAUCUAUUGAGAUGAUAAAAAGAAAUAGUUACCAUAGGGAUAACAGGCUAAUUUUUCCAGAGAGUUCAAAUUGACGGGAAAGUUUGGCACCUCGAUGUUGGCUUAGAAUAUCCUGUAGGUGUAGCAGUCUACAAGGGUUGGUUUGUUCAACCAUUAAAAUUCU